rnacentral:rRNA from 1 species
AAAAACAUGUCCUUUUGUUUUUAUAUAAGGUCGGCCCUGCCCAAUGAUUUUUAAUGGCCGCAGUAUUUUAACUGUGCAAAGGUAGCAUAAUCAUUUGUCUUUUAAUUGAAGGCUUGUAUGAACGGGUUGACGAAAAGUUAUCUUUCUUUUUCUAAUUUUUAUGAAUUUAAUUUUUAAGUUAAAAAGCUUAAAUUUUUUUGUAGGACGAGAAGACCCUAUAGAUCUUUAUUUAUAUUAUUUUAGGUUGAUUUUUGUUAUUAUUUUAAUUUAGUUUAAUUUAAAUUUUGUUGGGGCGAUGCUGAGAUUUUUUUAACUCUUAGUUAUUUAUUUUCAUUAAUUAAUGUUUUUUUGAUCCAGUAUUAUUGAUUAUAAGAUUAAGUUACCUUAGGGAUAACAGCGUAAUUCUUUUGGAGAGUUCUUAUCGAUGAAAGAGUUUGCGACCUCGAUGUUGGAUUAAAGUUAAUUUUGGGUGUAGUGGUUCAAUUUAUUAAGUCUGUUCGACUUUUAAUUUUUUACAUGAUCUGA